rnacentral:lncRNA from 1 species
CUCCAAAGCACCUGUGGCUUUCUCAUACCAAUUAGCAACGCCACGCACAGCUGAUCGUUCAUUUAUGAAGGCUGUGAUAAAUAUUUACACAUGGUACCAAGAGCGUGCGUCUUACCUUGAACCAGGUGUUGUUCUACUUCUUGGCUGUGUCCGUGGUUCAUGCUCCGCGGGCUGUAGCUCAGCUAACAGGUACGUGAAGUACAGGAGAAAGACUAGCUAGCACUAGCUAGCAACAAUAUUAGCCCGCCAAUUAUAAUAACUGCCUCCGACUCUUGUUCAUAAACCAAUUGUUAAAAUUACCCACUUCUUCUAUUUGUUCCCUCUAAGAAGUAGCCGUAUCGUAUAGUUUUGUUUUGUUUUUCUUAAUUUUACCUGUUAGCAAAAAUGCUGACAUCAGCAUUUCGGUUUGGCCGCCAAAGGAAAUCUGUAUCAUCACGCAGAACGGACGGAGCGGCGGAGGAGGAGAGGAACGGGGAGAGGAAGCUGUGGGAGAACGGACGCGGCUCUGCGAGAGGAGGCUUUUGUGGAGAGAGGGGUGUAAUAUCUGGUCAUCUGGCGUCCACGGAGCGACAGAAAGGAAGGAGAGAAGGGAAAAAAUGGAGAGAGUGACAGAAAAUACAAACUUGGUGGGAAGAGUUAGGUGAAAAUGAGAUAUAGAGAGAGAUGGUGAGAGAUGAGCACACAAAUAGAGAGAGGGGGGAGAGAGGGAGAGAUGGAGAGCCAGAGAGAGCCCAGAUGAGGGAGUUGAGAUGAUGGGCUGGCAGUUUCCAAGCACCAGGCUGUUUUUCAGGGCUGUCAAGCACAUUGUGAGGCAUUGUUUGAAAUGCCCAGGCUGAUGGCUGACAUAUUCCCCAUGAAUCUAGCAUGCCAGGCCGCCGUCCACUACACUGUACUCAGCCACACGCGCGCUGCCGUGCCACGUGUUAACCGUCCACGUGUGUGUGUGUGUGUGUGUGUGUGUGUGUGUGCUGGUCAGUGGGGGUAAUUGGCUGACCUUGGCCCAUCAGGGAGGCUGGGAUGAGAGAGAAAAGGUGGAGAAAACGGUGGAGGGGGGGGGCGGGUUGUAAAUUUUGUCUCACAUC